ACCUUGCGGCCGUACUCCCCAGGUGGGAUACUUAUUGUGUUAACUCCGGCACAGAAGGGGUCGAUACCUCCUACACCUAGUAUCCAUCGUUUACGGCGUGGACUACCAGGGUAUCUAAUCCUGUUUGCUCCCCACGCUUUCGCGCCUCAGCGUCAGUUAUCGUCCAGAAAGUCGCCUUCGCCACUGGUGUUCCUCCCAAUAUCUACGCAUUUCACCGCUACACUGGGAAUUCCACUUUCCUCUCCGACACUCAAGAAACAUAGUUUCAGAUGCAGCCCCGAGGUUAAGCCUCGGUAUUUCACAUCUGACUUACAUUCCCGCCUACACGCCCUUUACACCCAGUAAUUCCGGACAACGCUCGCCACCUACGUAUUACCGCGGCUGCUGGCACGUAGUUAGCCGUGGCUUGUUUUUGGGGUACCGUCAUUUGUUUCGUCCCCCAUCAAAGAAGUUUACGAUCCGAAAACCUUCAUCCUUCACGCGGCGUUGCUGCGUCAGGGUUUCCCCCAUUGCGCAAUAUUCCCCACUGCUGCCUCCCGUAGGAGUCUGGGCCGUAUCUCAGUCCCAAUGUGGCCGAUCAACCUCUCAGUUCGGCUACCAAUCGUCGCCUUGGUGGUCCGUUACAUCACCAACUAGCUAAUUGGACGCGGGCCCAUCUCUCACCGGAUCGCUCCUUUGAUCAUUAAAGGAUGUCCUUCAAUGAUGUUAUGCGGUAUUAGCACAAGUUUCCCUGUGUUAUCCCCCAGUGUGAGGCAGGUUGCCCACGCGUUACUCACCCGUCCGCCGCUAAACUAAUAUUACUAUUAGCUCCGCUCGACUUGCAUGUGUUAGGCACGCCGCCAGCGUUCGUC
rnacentral:rRNA from 1 species